rnacentral:rRNA from 1 species
AGAUUGAACGCUGGCGGCAUGCCUUACACAUGCAAGUCGAACGGCAGCACGGGGGCAACCCUGGUGGCGAGUGGCGAACGGGUGAGUAAUGCAUCGGAACGUGCCCAGUAGUGGGGGAUAACUAGUCGAAAGACUAGCUAAUACCGCAUACGACCUAUGGGUGAAAGCGGGGGAUUCGCAAGAACCUCGCGCUAUCGGAGCGGCCGAUGUCUGAUUAGCUAGUUGGCGGGGUAAAAGCCCACCAAGGCUUCGAUCAGUAGCUGGUCUGAGAGGACGACCAGCCACACUGGGACUGAGACACGGCCCAGACUCCUACGGGAGGCAGCAGUGGGGAAUUUUGGACAAUGGGCGCAAGCCUGAUCCAGCCAUGCCGCGCGCGGGAAGAAGGCCUUCGGUUGUAAACCGCGUUUGGUCAGGAACGAAACGGACGCGAGCGAAUAUCUCGCGUUAAUGACGGUAACCUGCGAGAAUAAAGACAACCCGGACUAAACCGUACGUAGCCACGCAA